rnacentral:rRNA from 1 species
GUGGGGAAUAUUGGACAAUGGGCGAAAGCCUGAUCCAGCCAUGCCGCGUGUGUGAAGAAGGUCUUCGGAUUGUAAAGCACUUUAAGUUGGGAGGAAGGGCAGUAAGUUAAUACCUUGCUGUUUUGACGUUACCGACAGAAUAAGCACCGGCUAACUCUGUGCCAGCAGCCGCGGUAAUACAGAGGGUGCAAGCGUUAAUUGGAAUUACUGGGCGUAAAGCGCGCGUAGGUGGUUCGUUAAGUUGGAUGUGAAAGCCCCGGGCUCAACCUGGGAACUGCAUCCAAAACUGGCGAGCUAGAGUACGGUAGAGGGUGGUGGAAUUUCCUGUGUAGCGGUGAAAUGCGUAGAUAUAGGAAGGAACACCAGUGGCGAAGGCGACCACCUGGACUGAUACUGACACUGAGGUGCGAAAGCGUGGGGAGCAAACAGGAUUAGAAACCCUAGUAGUCC